CUAUUAGUGCCUGCUGUGCCAGAGGCAAUCCAGCCCACUGUCUGCUCAGCAGCAGCUUCGUUGGGUUUCAGGACUGUUGGACCCUAAGAAUAGGUUAGAGUGUAAUUUGCAAGAAAACUAGAGCCAUGCCUACUUACCUGUCCCAGUGCUUAAGAUAGUACCUGGCAUAAUGUGGAUGCUCAUAGCUGUUGAAUGAAGAAGGAAAGAAGAAAAGAAAAGGAAUGAUGGAAAGAAAGAAGCAUCUCCAGUGAUGACAGUACCAUUCCUAUUGACAUGCAGAAGAGCAUCUCCUCGUGUCUGAUUACAGCGCCUGGCUCAGUACGAAACAGCAUACCCCGCUUACAGCAGCAGGGUCUUGCUUAUCUCCUGAAGGACUGAUUUGCCUGUCUUCCUGCCAGAAGGGAAGUCAAAACUGCUUCUCUCCAGGGUUGGCAAUUUCCAAGAGAUCAAGCUGAGUGUGGGGCAUCGAGUCACACCUGCAGACCAGACAUUAUUCUGGGACUCUCAGGCUCCCUCAGAUCAUCUGAAGUAGAUGAAAAAGUUCCUCCCCAAAGAGAGAAAGCUGUUUGUUUGCAAGUAGACCGUUCUCACCAAGAUAAUUCUACGAAAUGUUAAUUCUUUAAAAGUAAUUCUGUAAUAUGGAUC
ensembl:lncRNA